rnacentral:misc_RNA from 1 species
UCUUUGUUUUGUAUGUGAGUGCAUAUUGCAUCAAGAGUUUCCUUACUUGGAUGGCAUCUCAAAUAAGCGGUUGUAGUUCAUCUUGGGCACCGAUCUCCUUAAGGGCUACAUGAGAUUGAGAGUCCUGAGCUUUGUCAUCCCUCUCGCGAUUUCCCACCAUCAUAUACACGGGUCCUAGCUUUCUUUUAGUUGUUGUAGCUUGCUUGGUUUACUUGCUGUGAAGGAGACAUCUUUCCUGAGGAAGCUCUGCUUCUUUAAUAGAGUUCUUU